CGGAGAGUGGCUCAGUUGGUAGAGCGCUGCGUUUGGGACGCAGAGGUCCCGAGUUCGAGCCUCGGCUCUCCGA
rnacentral:tRNA from 1 species